rnacentral:rRNA from 1 species
UGGAGGAAAAGAAACUAACAAGGAUUCCCCUAGUAGCGGCGAGCGAAGCGGGAAGAGCCCAAGAUGAAAAGCCUGCUUGCAGGCGUUGUAUUUGGGCGUCCUUGGGGUGUCAGUGCGGGCAAGUUGUAUGGAAAUACACGCCGUGGAGGGUGAGAGCCCCGUCCAACCUGCACAGGACAUGCCGUACAAGGGCGUCUCAGACGAGUCGGGUAGCUUGGGAAUGCUGCUCUAAUUGGUGGUAAAUCUCAUCAAAGGCUAAAUAACGGCUGGAGACCGAUAGCGAACAAGUACCGUGAGGGAAAGAUGACAAGCACUUUGAAAAGAGGGUGAAAAGAGCCUGAAACCGUCAUGGGGGAAGCGGAUUGCGUUGGAUUGGAGGGUUGCUGCGUGUUCAGCCGUAAGGUGCAUUGGCGCAGUAGCUUAUCUGCCGUGGGUUCUGGGUGGUUGAUUUUGAACUGCUCGGGGCUGAGGGCUCCCUUUCAUAGGUGAGGACGGUGGAGUAACGACGCGAUACGACCCGUCUUGAAACACGGACCAAGGAGUCUAGCGCGGGUGCGAGUCAGAGGGUGCAAGCCCGUGGGCAAAGUGAAAGCGAGUGUAAAAACGAGCAGUUUGGGGCGGCAUGAGAUCGUUGAUCUCAAGACCGACCUUGAGCAGUUGCGCUGGGACCCGAAAGAUGGUGAACUAUGCCGGAGUAGGGCAAAGCCAGAGGAAACUCUGGUGGAGGCUCGUAGCGGUGCUGACGUGCAAAUCGCUCGUCCAACUUGGGUAUAGGGGCGAAAGACUAAUCGAACCAUCUAGUAGCUGGUUCCCUCCGAAGUUUCUCUCAGGAUAGCGGGCCGACAUGUGUUGUUUUGUGCGGUAAAGCGAAUGAUUAGCGCAUUCGGGGGCUGUCAGCCUUUGGGCGAUUCUCAAACUUUCAAUGCGCAAGGGUGCCGCUGCUUUGUUGAGCGGCACCGGCAAAAACGUCGGCCCUGUGGGCCACUUUUGGUAAGCAGAACUGGCGAUACGGGAUGAACCGUAAGCGUGGUUAAGGCGCCUCACUGCCCGCUUAGAGAUCCCACAAAAGGUGUUGAUUCAUCGAGACAGCAGGACGGUGGCCAUGGAAGUCGGAAUCCGCCAAGGAGUGUGUAACAACUCACCUGCCGAAUGAAUUAGCCCUGAAAAUGGAUGGCGCUGAAGCGGGCGGCCGACACCACGCCGUCUGGUAAAGAAUCAUGAUCAGAUGAGUAGGAGGGCGUGGUGGCCGUGUCGAAGCGUGCGUGCAGACGCGCGUGGAACGGCCACUAGUGCAGAUCUUGGUGGUAGUAGCAAGUAUUCAAGCGAGAUCCUUGAAGGGCGAAGCGGGGAAGGGUUCCACGCGAACAUUGAUUGGGCGUGGGUGAGUCGUUCCUAAGCCGAGUGGCGAUUGCUAAGUAGCGGCGAAAGGGAAGCGGGUUGACAUUCCCGCACACGGAUGUGGAGGCGGUGACGCGUAUUGGGGCGAACACGCUGGCGACGGCGCUGGGCAGAGUUGUCUUUUCUGUUUGACCUAUUUCCACGCGGUGUGGAAUCCGCUUGUCGGGAGAAACACGCGUGUCGGGGCAGAGCGCCGGGGCUUUUCCGGCGUCCAGCUCGCCGUCGACGGCCCUUGAAACUUUGCCUGCUGAUUUAAAUCCACGCCGUGGCGUACCGAUCACCGCAUCAGGUCCCCAAGGUGAACAGCCUCUGCUCGAUAUGAACAAUGCAGGUAAGGGAAGUCGGCAAAUUAGACCCCUAACUUUGGGAUAAGGGUUGGCUCUAGUGCUGCGUGGGAGUGGUUGCCUAGUGUCGGGGUUUUUGGUGAGGCUGGCUUGGCGCGGGACCCCUCGGGGACCUGUUCCGGCUGCUAAACUGAUCAUUCUGCGUUGGGCGACGCCCACAGCAUGCAGCAGACUAGAACUGCAACGGGCAAAGGGAAUCCGACUGUUUAAUUAAAACAAAGCAUUGCGAGGGCCGUGGCCGGUGAUGACGCAAU